AUUGAACGCUGGCGGCAGGCCUAACACAUGCAAGUCGAACGGCAGCACAGAAGAGCUUGCUCUUUGGGUGGCGAGUGGCGGACGGGUGAGUAAUGUCUGGGAAACUGCCCGAUGGAGGGGGAUAACUACUGGAAACGGUAGCUAAUACCGCAUAACAUCGCAAGACCAAAGUGGGGGACCUUCGGGCCUCACACCAUCGGAUGUGCCCAGAUGGGAUUAGCUAGUAGGUGGGGUAAUGGCUCACCUAGGCGACGAUCCCUAGCUGGUCUGAGAGGAUGACCAGCCACACUGGAACUGAGACACGGGCCAGACUCCUACGGGAGGCAGCAGUGGGGAAUAUUGCGCAAUGGGCGCAAGCCUGAUGCAGCCAUGCCGCGUGUAUGAAGAAGGCCUUCGGGUUGUAAAGUACUUUCAGCGGGGAGGAAGGCGGUGAGGUUAAUAACCUCGCCGAUUGACGUUACCCGCAGAAGAAGCACCGGCUAACUCCGUGCCAGCCGCCGCGGUAA
rnacentral:rRNA from 1 species